GACGUAGGGCGCGAGCGUUGUCCGGAUUUAUUGGGCGUAAAGAGCUCGUAGGCGGUUUGUCGCGUCUGCCGUGAAAGUCCGGGGCUCAACUCCGGAUCUGCGGUGGGUACGGGCAGACUAGAGUUCGGUAGGGGAGACUGGAAUUCCUGGUGUAGCGGUGAAAUGCGCAGAUAUCAGGAGGAACACCGGUGGCGAAGGCGGGUCUCUGGGCCGAUACUGACGCUGAGGAGCGAAAGCGUGGGGAGCGAACAGG
rnacentral:rRNA from 1 species